GACGUGCGUGGGGCUAUCAUCCCGUCGAGCGGGGUUAUAGAACCUUGCUUCUAACUAACCUAGCGGCGGACGGGUGAGUAACACGUAGGCAACCUGCCCACAAGACAGGGAUAACUACCGGAAACGGUAGCUAAUACCCGAUACAUCCUUUUCCUGCAUGGGAAAGGAGGAAAGGCGGAGCAUCUGUCCUUGGGAUGGGCCUGCGGCGCAUUAGCUAGUGGGGGGAAAGGCCUACCAGGCGACAUGCGUACCGACCUGAGAGGGUGAUCGGCCACCUGGGACUGAAACACGGCCCAAACUCCUACGGGAGGCAAGCAGGGGACCC
rnacentral:rRNA from 1 species